CGCUGCAGAUGAGUUGAUCACCUCACUCCAAAUUCCAGCUUCUAAAUUUUUUUCUUUUUUUGGUAACGUGAUUUUAAUUCUCAAGAACUUCCAACUGUUUUCUCCAGUUUUUCAAACUUCAGAUCUAGAAUAAAAGAAACAACAUGUACAUCAACCAAAAGAGAAAACAAACUUUAGAUAAAGAGCCUUAAGCACAAGGAAAAUCUUAGUUAUCUUAUCAGUAUCCUACUUCAUUUAACAUAAAAAGGAAACCAUCUUGAUACUGAAGAACCAAAACUUUAUAAUUGAUAUGCAAAGGAUUUUAGCAUUUCCCACCAGUCCUCACACGUUAAAAAAGCAAAGGGAUCAUGAGGUACAAUUUUUAUGGUAAAACACACCAUUGGAACAAAGCAACCUUCAUUGUAAAAGCAAUGACACACGGUAUUAUGCAGAUGAAUUUAAAAAAACUCUCCUUUAUAACUUGGAGUUUGUAGCAAUGUGCAUCCUAUACCUGCACUUGCAGAUUGCUCAGACUGUUGAUUUAAACAAGUGAAAAUCUUCAAAUGCUAUUGUUAGUAGAAAUGACCAAAAAAAUCAUAAUAUUCCUUUGAGUGACAGUUAUAACUGCGCUUAAGCAGUCCAAAGAUAGAUCAUUUGGACAACAGAACCAAGGAUAAAACCUAUCAAAGCACACAUUCUCAGGUCUAAACUUGUCUCAAAUGGCACUCUACGUAUUUUGUCUAUGUCAAACAAGUACACUACGCGUACUCCUAAUUCAUAAUAGUUUAAUCAGAAAAAGGAAACUUCAACUAAAAAUAGUAAAAUUAAGAUGCAAAUACCAGUAAGAACUUAUACUCCAGACAUUGUAAACAUCGACACAUUUCCAAAUCCGAAUCAUUAUUGUAACAAGUGCAUACAAUUUUAACCCCUUCCGCUUUAUCUAUCGCAUCAUUUGAUAACAAAAUGAAUCGGUGCAUUAGGUCAACACGAGCGUUAUGGAAUCGAAACUCCUAACAAAUGCAAAUUAGGGAUCUUUGAUUCAAAAUUCAUGAUGCAUUGAGAUAACAGAAGCAUGUAACACCAAUGAGAUACAAAAAAUAAAGUGAAUUCAACUAUUCAAAUGGGGAUAGAUGAUGAUCAAAGGGAAACUAAAAUUAAAAACCACUAUUCAAUACUUCAAAAAGACCAACAUUUUUUUAAUCUAACACAAACAUAAGAACAGAUAAACUAAUAAAGACUUUGAAUUAAAAUUUUACCAGCAAUUUUUCUUGAUAACAUCUCAAACCAAUCAGCAGAACCAUUCUCUGAAGACCCAGAAGCAAAAUAAUCCUUUUCAACUUUUUUCUCUACCUUCCUCUUCUUUUUUUGACCUCUAACAGGACCCAUCACUCAAUUGAAUCAAAAUCAAGAAACCCCACUUGCUUCAAACAACCAAAAUCACAGCAACUUCAAUGAAUUCAAAGAUAACACAAACCCCAUUUCUUGCAAAUACCAAAAAAAAACACAACGAAAGAUCAUAAAUUCAUAAUCAUAUACAAGAUAAACAAAAAACAUGCAAAACUACAUAUGCAAAUAGAAAAAUAAAUAAAAUUAACUCACCCCAUUUCUUGAUGCCAAUGGUUUGUGUUUUUGUUGAGUGGCUUUCUUGAAAUGUUUCAAAGCAUGCAAAGUGUAUAUUGUCAAAGAAAAAAGAAGUGUCUACAUAUUGCAGGUGUGUGAAAGCUAGCCCGAAUACAGUGGUUAAGUGACUAUUGUGGGUUUUGACAUAAAAAAAUGGACACACUAUAGAUAGGAAGAAUGCUUUAUGGGAAAAUUAAUGUAACAAGAAAACAAUAUAGAGGUUUUGUUGUGUUUGUAUUUCCUUAAAAAGACAAUGUGAAAGACAUGAAAAUGGUGGAGACUGUCUUUACAAUGGUCAAUACUCAGAGAUUUAAGAGAGAAACUAACGGGGCUUGUAAAAGGUUUUAGUCAAGUUGUUGAUAUUACCAAUUUGUAAUAAUUCUUUGCUAGAUCCAUAAUCUAGAUUAAGGAAUAAUUUAGAGAGAA
rnacentral:lncRNA from 1 species